CUUUGGUGUGCUGUUUUGCUCGUCUUAAGUAGAACUCUCUCUCUCUCAAGAACUAAGAUUUAAUUCUAGUCUGAAUGAUUUGGAUUAAUAGAGAAAUAAGUAAUUUCUUAUUUAGUUAAGCCUGAUAAGGUUGGGUACUUCCAUGAAAGAGCAUGGCAGAUGUGGUCAGAUAGUACAUAGAAAAUAUGCUAAUCUUUUUACUCUUUGUAGACUUGCAUGUGACGUCUCACCUUGGAUUCAUCUUUUAAAAACAGCCAAUUAAACAGACCAUUGCAGUCAUUCAGAUUGUGAAGAAUAUGAGCGCUUUAUGUCUCCAGUUUCCAAAAUCACUGAUGUUAUCAUUCUGUGGACAUGGACCAUGAAAUUAUACCACUGUGAAGUUCUGGAAGAAAAUGCAAAACUACUGUUAAAAAUCACAGACAUAAGGAUGAUGAGGUUUUGUCUGGAUCUUCUGGAAAUCUAUAUUCAUGCUGAAUUAUGAAAGCGAGCCACUAUGAAAGAAGUUCUAUUUGAAUUAAGGCCAUAGUGCUUACUUCAGUCUGUGGUUCUAAGAGUAAUAGAAAAGAAAGUGUGGUGGUUAAAUCAGACUGUUACUUGAAUACUGUACUGCAGAUUUGAAUU
rnacentral:lncRNA from 1 species